rnacentral:rRNA from 1 species
CCUACGGGCGGCAGCAGUCGAGAAUCAUUCACAAUGGGGGAAACCCUGAUGGUGCGCCGCCGCGUGGGGGAAUGAAGGUCUUCGGAUUGUAAACCCCUGUCAUGUGGGAGCAAAUUAAAAAGAUAGUACCACAAGAGGAAGAGCCGGCUAACUCUGUGCCAGCAGCCGCGGUACUACAGAGGUCUCAAGCGUUGUUCGGAAUCACUGGGCGUAAAGCGUGCGUAGGCUGUUUCGUAAGUCGUGUGUGAAAGGCGCGGGCUCAACCCGCGGACGGCACAUGAUACUGCGAGACUAGAGUAAUGGAGGGGGAACCGGAAGUCUCGGUGUAGCAGUGAAAUGCGUAGAUAUCGAGAGGAACACUCGUGGCGAAGGCGGGUUCCUGGACAUUAACUGACGCUGAGGCACGAAGGCCAGGGGAGCGAAAGGGAUUAGAUACCCGGGUAGUC